rnacentral:lncRNA from 13 species
AUGAGUGAUAGAGAAACGGAGAGUGUGAAGAAGGAAGAUAACUCGUUUUUUGUGCUGCAGAGAACUUACUAUUCAAUGCCUUUCUGCCAGAUAUAUCCUGAGUAUGUCUAUGUGAGGGGAAAUUACAUCUUGGCAAACCUGUCUGUGUGUCCCAGGGUGUCUGUCUGUCCCCCCUGUGUCAGUCUCUCUCUCUCUCUCAAUAAUGGUGUCAAACCUGAGGAGGUACACAGCACUAACAGGUCAGAGGUCAGUCACAAGACAACACAGGGUACAGUGGUCUAUGUACUAAAUGGCACCCUAUUCUCUAUAUAGUGCACUACUUUUGACCAGAGCCCUAUUCCCUAUAUAGUGCACUACUUUAGACCAGAGCCCUAUUCCCUAUAUAGUGCACUACUUUAGACCAUGGCCUGGUCUAAAGUAGUGCACUAAAUAGGGAAUAUACUCAAAAAGGCCCAUAGUGUUCUGGUCUCAGAGCCUGGUUCCUCUCUAGGUUUCUUCCUAGGUUUUGGCCUUCCUAGGGAGUUUUUCCUAGCCACUGUGCUUCCACAACUGCAUUGCUUGCUGUUUCGGGUUUUAGGCUGGGUUUCUGUACAGCACUUUGUGACAUCAGCUGAUGUAAAGAAGGGCUUUAUAAAUACAUUUGAUUGGUUGAUUGAGUGAUUGGUCUAAAGUAGUGCCCUAUAGCAAACAGGGUGCCAUUUGGGAGACGUACAUAGUCCUUAGUGGUGUGUUGUUACGGUGUACUACACAUGUCCCAUAGCCAAUCAGAUCUGGUUACCUGGCAGUUUGAAGGUGUUCUGCUGGGUCUCCAACAACAGCCCAAAGCCCCGGGUGUUGAUGUAGCGACUGUAGAGGUUUCCCCUGGCAACUAGGCCCUGUUGGCUACCACGGUGAUGGAGCAGGGAAGGUAGAGAGGAUAGGAAGAGCAAGGGAAUGGGAGAUGGAGGACAAAUAAGAGCAGGACAGAGAAAACAAGAGAGAGUGCAAGAAAGAGGAAGAAAGAGGGAGGGAAACAUGAAUAGGGAGCGAAGGAGGAGACAGAACAUAGAAAAAUACAGAAAGGGGAAAAAGACAAGUGUGUGCAAAGGGAAAAAAGUGAAGUAAACAGCAAGAGAAUUCAACCGAAAGGAAACAGCAAGAGAAUUCAACAGAAGAGAAACACUUAAUUAAAACAGAAUUAGCAAACAAUGGCAAAACUGAAUGCUUGACAAAUCGUACAAACAAUAACUGAAAACAAAAAAACAAACAUAUUAUUGUGAUAUGAAGUGAAAGCAACGCCAACAGAAAGACCCGAAGACUAAUGUGAGAAUUAUACAAGUAGGGCAGGGGUUACCAAAGUUUUUCCUAAGAUGACAGAUUUUCUCAGGGGACUCCAUUUAAAAUUUCAGGGGAACCCACAUGGGGUCCCAACCCCAAGUUUAAGAACCACUGAAGUAGGGGCCUAUUAAUGAAAAAGCCUUCUCUGGCUCAUUAUCAAAUUCUAAGCAUUGUUUCUUGUUGAUGUGUCAUGUUGUUAUUUAUUUAUUUUAUUUCACCUUUAUUUAACCAGGUAGGCAAGUUGAGAACACCUUUAUUUAACCAGGUAGGCCAGUUGAGAACACCUUUAUUUAACCAGGUAGGCAAGUUGAGAACAAGUUCUCAUUUACAAUUGUGACCUGGCCAAGAUAAAGCAAAGCAGUUCGACACAUACAACGACACAGAGUUAGUACACAUGGAGUAAAACAAACAUACAGUCAACAAUACAGUAUAAACAAGUCUAUAUACGAUGUGAGCAAAUGAGGUGAGAUAAGGGAGGUAAAGGCAAAAAGGCCAUGGUGGCAAAGUAAAUACAAUAUAGCAAGUAAAACACUGGAAUGGUAGAUUUGCAAAGUAGCGAUAGAAAUAAUGGGGUGCAAAGGAGCAAAAUAAAUAAAUAAAUACAGUAGGGAAAGAGGUAGUUGUUUGGGCUAAAUUAAUGUACAGGUGCAGUAAUCUGUUAUGACAAAGUGAAAAGUUUUUUUUAUUUUUUAAACAUUAUUGGCGAACUUCAUGUUAAUAAACAUGAAUGAAUAUGCCUCCAAAAGUUAUCCAAAUAUUAUUUUAGUGGCCUCAUACACUUAACGAGAGUACCUACGAAAUAACAGUCUAACUUAAUGAGAGUACCUAUGAAAUAACAUUCUAACUUAACGAGAUUACCUAUGAAAUAACAUUCUAACUUAACGAGAUUACCUAUGAAAUAACAGUCUAACUUAACGAGAGUACCUACGAAAUAACAUUCUAACUUAACGAGAGUACCUAUGAAAUAACAGUCUAACUUAACGAGAGUACCUACGAAAGAACAUUCUAACUUAAUGAGAGUACCUAUGAAAUAACAUUCUAACUUAACGAGAGUACCUAUGAAAUAACAUUGUAACUUAACGAGAGUACCUACGAAAUAACAUUCUAACUUAACGAGAUUACCUAUGAAAUAACAUUCUAACUUAACGAGAUUACCUAUGAAAUAACAUUCUAACUUAACGAGAGUACCUACGAAAUAACAUUCUAACUUAACGAGAGUACCUAUGAAAUAACAGUCUAACUU